ACUCCUCGGUCACCUACUCAGGAUCUCCUGCAGCUCCCAGAGAGAAACCUACCCGUCAUCUGAUUUAUUUUCAGAAGUACUCUCAAUUUCUUGAAGAAAAAAAAGCUAUAAAAGGUAUAACUCACAAAGAAUUGAACUGCAUAAAAAAUGUUUUGCUCAUGGAAGGACUUCAUCACUGGGUUCCUGAACCGUGAUGCUGCUUAUUUUAUAGGGCUCUGGGAUUCAGGUCAUCGACAAUGGCAAUGGGUUUCUCAGACACCAUACAAUGCGAGUGCCACAUUCUGGCACAAAGGUGAGCCCAGCAGUGACGAUGAAAAGUGUGUUAUAAUAAAUCAUCUUAAUUCUGGAUGGGGCUGGAAUGAUAUCCCUUGCAGUGGUAAACAGCAGUCAGUUUGUCAGAUGAAGGAAAUACAGUUAUGAAUCAUACGUUCUCCAUGGGUAUGUGAUUUCAUUGUUGUUCACUAUUACAUGGACACCUGGGAAAUUAUACUAAUGGAAGAGAUGGCCACAGAAUUGAAGUGGGAAGCAAAUGGUUAUGCAUAUGAGAAUGCUGGCCCACAUGUAUCUUUGUGUAUUCACCCACUUACUCUGUCAUAAAAUGAACUUUCAUUGAGAAUUUUCUACAUGCCAGAUUGUAUACAGAGUCCCUUUUAUGGCAUACAUGGAGCUUUUCUGCCAAUUCCUCAACAUUUCAUUUACUUAUGUGAUUGUAUGAUAUGUUCCCUAGAUCUAUCAAUCUUUCUGUUUUUUUAAAACAUACCUUUGGUUUUAUUGACAUGAAAUUGAGAAGUAAAAUUAUAUAAAUAUUU
rnacentral:lncRNA from 1 species